rnacentral:lncRNA from 10 species
CCCCCUCCGCCUCUCUGCUCCCCGGGAGUGCCGGCAGUGCCCGGGCAAGGCCAGAAGCCCAGGCUAGGCCCCCUCCGUGGGCGCGCCAGGUUCUGUGCCGCGUCGUCCUUCCCCUCCUUGGGCACCGGCUCUGAACCUGCCCGGCCAGAAACCGAACCCGUUUUCAGGAGGAGCGCCUGCGGGCGUGCUGGCUCCACGCGCGGCUCUCGGGGCGGCCGGGUUCGGGCGUGUGCGUUUCCAGGCGCCUCUGUCCCCAGCGGGAGGAGCGGCUGUGGAGGGGGCCUGCUGGCGGCUCACCCCAGGCCCGGAGGGUUCGGGAACUAAACCUGCAUCUGGUGUCAAAACCCCUUUUUGCCCACCCUGGCACUGACGUUAAGCAUGCAUCUUUUUUCCCUGAAGUUUUUUUUCCGUAGAAGACAUACUGGGUAAAUUAGAAACAUGUUUGAGAAAGGAGUGAGCGGCGAACGCUGGCAUCUAAACAACACAAAAGUGCCCACGCCAGGCCACACGCCCAGGCGGCCGCGGCCUCGGCGGCGGCGCAGCGCCCCCUGGCGGCCGCGCGGGGCCCCUACCGAGCCGCCCCCGGCCGUGUCCCCUCACCUCCCCUCACCUCCCACGCUCCUGAGCCGGGAGCAGCCGGGAGGGCCAGGGAGACCCCUGCUCCCCCAAGUCAGAGCAACAGUGGGACACUUUGGGAGGAAGGGAAUGAAAGGAGUCCAACGCCAAGGUCCUGGGGGAUGCUUUCUGUGGUUUCGUGGCUGGCGCCGAAGUCAAGAACCUAGGGAAGGAGCCAACAUAAAAGAAAACCCUUGAUCCAUUUUCAAUGAAUGCCUGAAAUUCUACCAAUCCAGCAUCAUCCCUUCACCUGCAGGCUUUGAUUCCUUUUAAAAUGCAAAUGCCUCAAGGAAGGGGAACCCUUAAAACAAGGGCAGAUGGCAGGCUACAUCAAGAAAUCACCAACGUCACCAAAGAGACAUGAUUACGCCAUGAUGUGUACAUACUAUAUGGUAAUGGCGUUUAAUAAGCAGCGUUUAAUCUUUUUUUUAUUCCUGUUGUUGGUUGUCCAGGCAUCCUUUUGUACUCUGACAAGCAGUGUUUCUUCAGGAUGCCCCGCCCGCAGUGGCCAGACCCUCUAGUUCAGUUGCUCCAAGUUUUCUUACCCUUUGCAUCCUAAACCUUUCUCCAAUCAUUCUACUUCCCAUUCUCACAAUCCUGCUUGAUUGGAGGUUCACAGCAUCUUAUCGCUAGUCCCAAUCAUUGCAGUAGCCCAGUGGGAGUAUCUGGAUCCCUUCCAUAGCACACAGGGUCCUGGGGAAGUUCAAGAGAGUCUCUCAAGUCCUUUCUGUACAAUACGCAACACCACUGAAUCUGUCAAGAGGCGGCUGCCUUGUGCUGGUGGUGGGGUGGGGGGACUGUCUUCCCAAAGUCAGCAGAGAACCCCUGCUUUCGGCUUCCCAUCAUCUAUCUGGAAUUUCUCUCCUCUUGCCACUCCUCCAUCUGGCAGAAGCCAGAAGUAGGGGUGCUGGGUUUCUGAAGGACCCAGGCAGGGUCUUUCCCGCUUCUCCCCUUUGUCCUCUGAAUCCGUCUUUUUCCUGCUCAUAGGGUUUCUACUUAGCCAUACUGUCCGGUGGGAAUGCCUCCAACUCCAGAGCUUCCUCUUCUUUCAAGUGUCUCCUGCUGUAUCAGUUAUCUGUUGCUACAAAACGAGCCACCCAGUGGCUUACACUCAGUAGCUUAAAACAAUAAACAUUUAUUUGCUCAUGACUCUGUGGGUCGGCUGGGCGGUUCUUCUGGCUUGGCUCUGCUGGGCUCACUGUGUUUGUGGUGAGCUGGCAGGUCAUCGGAUGGUUUAAGAUGGCCUCCCUCACACAUCUGGUGGUUGGCAGGCUGUCAGCUGGGGUGAAAGGGUGACCCGGCCACGUGUCUCUCAUCUAGCAGGCUAGCCUACCCCAGGCUUCUUCCAAUGGCAGUAGGCUUCCACGGAUGGGAAGAGCAAAAGCUACAAGACUUCUUGAGCCCCAGGCUUGGAACGGACGCACCUUCCCUUCCACCGCAUUCUCUUCAUCAAACCUGGGCAGAGCAGUGGGCAGGCCGGGAGACGUCUUGAAGAUGUUUGCUUCCCUUCUUCAGCUCUCCAGGCUGCUGACAUCCUGGCUCCCUGAAGUCUAACAGGGGAGAAAAGAGUGGAUUGAAAAUAAGAAAAUGCUCGCGUGAAGGAGUAAAAAGGCAGCUGGAAGUACAACAUUCAUUUGGAGAUGGAAUAAAUAAAUGAGAUAAAAUCCUAAAUAAAUAUCUUACACGGUUCUAAUUGCAUUUUAAAAGCUGCCACCAGAGAACAGAUAAAAU